GUAGUCCUGGCUGUAAACGAUGUCGACUUGGAGGUUGUGCCCUUGAGGCGUGGCUUCCGGAGCUAACGCGUUAAGUCGACCGCCUGGGGAGUACGGCCGCAAGGUUAAAACUCAAAUGAAUUGACGGGGGCCCGCACAAGCGGUGGAGCAUGUGGUUUAAUUCGAUGCAACGCGAAGAACCUUACCUGGUCUUGACAUCCACGGAAGUUUUCAGAGAUGAGAAUGUGCCUUCGGGAACCGUGAGACAGGUGCUGCAUGGCUGUCGUCAGCUCGUGUUGUGAAAUGUUGGGUUAAGUCCCGCAACGAGCGCAACCCUUAUCCUUUGUUGCCUGCGGUCCGGCCGGGAACUCAAAGGAGACUGCCAGUGAUAAACUGGAGGAGGGUGGGGAUGACGUCAAGUCAUCAUGGCCCUUACGACCAGGGCUACACACGUGCUACAAUGGCGCAUACAAAGAGAAGCGACCUCGCGAGAGCAAGCGGACCUCAUAAAGUGCGUCGUAGUCCGGAUUGGAGUCUGCAACUCGACUCCAUGAAGUCGGAAUCGCUAGUAAUCGUGGAUCAGAAUGCCACGGUGAAUACGUUCCCGGGCCUUGUACACACCGCCCGUCACACCAUGGGAGUGGGUUGCAAAAGAAGUAGGUAGCUUAACCUUCGGGAGGGCGCUUACCACUUUGUGAUUCAUGACUGGGGUGAAGUCGUAACAAGGUAACCGUAGGGGAACCUGCGGCUGGAUCACCUCC
rnacentral:rRNA from 1 species